CCGCGUUGAGUUGAUGACGGCCUUAGGGUUGUAAAGCUCUUUCGCUAGGGACGAUAAUGACGGUUACCUACGACUAAGAAGCCCCGGCUAACCUUCGUGC
rnacentral:rRNA from 1 species